GCGGGGAAGGCACAUGACUCAGCAUCCUCCGGCCGCGAGGACCGCGCCGCCCUGAGCCCGAGCUCCCAGACGCGUGGCAGUUGGGGAUGUCGCCCCCAACCCCCAUGUCUCCUUCGACCGAGGACCGUCCCUUGCUUCUUUGACCUGCGGUUCCCUGGCGGUGCUCGCCGCGCCUCUGGGUCGGCAAGUUGCAGUGAGGCUGAACUUCAGGCCCGGGGGAUGCGGCGGCGGCAGCUCCCCGGAGGCGGCGCUGGGGGAGCGGGCGGGGGUGCCGGCGCCGACCUCGCACCCCGGGGAGAGGGGCGGCAACGCAAACCAAGGAUUUUCCGCGCAUACAUAGUCUGCAUCAAACAGCGCGGUGAUGGGGACCCGCACCUCUCUGCGGGUGCGGCGGGCGACGCCCUGGGAGGCCCGUGGCGGCUCGGCUCCAGCUCCCCAGCGGGGGCGCUGUCGCAGCGGGCAAGCGCCGCACCCAGCAGGGGGCUGCAGAACCAGGGUCUGAGUAUACUCAAUCACGACAGUUUCUGGAAAGAAUAUUAAGGAAUAAAGAUGAUGCGUCAUCAGAAACGGCACAAAGUAUUCAAAUAAUAAAAUCUUCUUUCCAUGUAUCUAUCUUCCUAAAAAUGGAACUUUUAAGAAAUGAAAGCUCUUAGUUAAUGAGUUUAAUUAAAGAAUUUGGAUAUCCUAUUAAUUAAGAGGAAAAAUAAAAGCCAUUCAAUUAA